rnacentral:rRNA from 1 species
AUUGAACGCUGGCGGCAGGCCUAACACAUGCAAGUCGAGCGGAUGAAGGGAGCUUGCUCCUGGAUUCAGCGGCGGACGGGUGAGUAAUGCCUAGGAAUCUGCCUGGUAGUGGGGGAUAACGUCCGGAAACGGGCGCUAAUACCGCAUACGUCCUGAGGGAGAAAGUGGGGGAUCUUCGGACCUCACGCUAUCAGAUGAGCCUAGGUCGGAUUAGCUAGUUGGUGGGGUAAAGGCCUACCAAGGCGACGAUCCGUAACUGGUCUGAGAGGAUGAUCAGUCACACUGGAACUGAGACACGGUCCAGACCCCUACGGGAGGCAGCAGUGGGGACUAUUGGACAAUGGGCGAAAGCCUGCUCCAGCCAUGCCGCGUGUGUGAAGAAGGUCUUCGGAUUGUAAAGCACUUUAAGUUGGGAGGAAGGGCAGUAAGUUAAUACCUUGCUGUUUUGACGUUACCAACAGAAUAAGCACCGGCUAACUUCGUG